rnacentral:rRNA from 1 species
AGAGCUUGCUCUCUGAUGGCGAGUGGCGAACGGGUGAGUAAUAUAUCGGAACGUGCCUAGUAAUGGGGAAUAACUAACUGAAAGGUUAGCUAAUGCCGCAUACGACCUACGGGUGAAAGCAGGGGAUCUUCGGACCUUGCGUUAUUAGAGCGGCCGAUAUCUGAUUAGCUUGUUGGUGGGGUAAUGGCCUACCAAGGCGACGAUCAGUAGCUGGUCUGAGAGGACGAUCAGCCACACUGGAACUGAGACACGGUCCAGACUCCUACGGGAGGCAGCAGUGGGGAAUUUUGGACAAUGGGGGCAACCCUGAUCCAGCCAUUCCGCGUGAGUGAAGAAGGCCUUCGGGUUGUAAAGCUCUUUCGCAAGAGAAGAAAACUUACUAUUUAAUAAAUAGUAAGUAUGACGGUAUCUUGACAAGAAGCACCGGCUAACUACGUGCCAGCAGCCGCGGUAAUACGUAGGGUGCAAGCGUUAAUCGGAAUUACUGGGCGUAAAGCGUGCGCAG